AGUAGAUAUGGUCAUUGAUGAACUGGGAGGUGAUAUGACAAUAUAAUUGUCUCCAAAUCACACACAGUUACAACAAAGUGGGUUGCUUAAAGGGGAUGUUCUCACGGAUCGCUUUUUCUGAAUCCUCAUGGUUGUGGGUUUGUUGUAUAUGAAGUUUGAUCAAUAAUGGUAACUCCCUCUCCUUUUUGUUCCAUUGUAAAAAGAAAUGCAUUUGCUUGGUUUGCUAGUUGCAGGUGGUUUAGCUGAAAAUCAUAUCUACUUUGCAAACCAUGUCGAGAUUUCUGGAG